rnacentral:rRNA from 1 species
UACGUAGGGGGCAAACGUUGCUCGGAAUCAUUGGGCGUAAAGCGCACGUAGGCGGUUCGUUAUGUCGGAUGUGAAAGCCCUUGGCUUAACCGAGGAAGUGCAUCCGAAACUGGCGAGCUAGAGUACGAAAGAGGAUCGCGGAAUUCCCGGUGUAGAGGUGAAAUUCGUAGAUAUCGGGAGGAACACCGGUGGCGAAGGCGGCGAUCUGGGUCGAUGCUGACGCUGAGGUGCGAAAGCGUGGGGAGCAAACAGG